rnacentral:tRNA from 1 species
GCCCUUGUAGCUCAAUGGAUAGAGCGACAGGUUUCUACCCUGUGGGUUGAGGGUUCAAGUCCUUCCAAGGGCG